rnacentral:lncRNA from 1 species
CCUAAAGGCAGACACACCUUUUCCCAAUUCACUCUAAGGUGUAGUAUGGGCUUGGGGGUUCUGGGAGGUGGCAUUCACCCAUUUGUUCCUUGAUCUGAAAAAGUCUGAACUAUACCAACGCUAUGAACAUCCAUUCCCCAGUGCCAAACAUAUACCACAAAACUAAUGACAAGGGACUCUUUGUUUGGGGCUAAAAAGAAAUGAUACAUGUCAGUUCCAUUUAAGGGCCAAAAUAUUCCAGGAAGCUCAGAUUAAACUUUUGCAUCAGCCUAUUUUGUUGGAAUAGCAGUACAUUAUCGUGAGAGGGACGUUUUUUAAACAAAAUUUAUUGGUCAAAAUUUCCCUGGGACUAACUUGCACUGAAUCCCUGAUGAAUGAUCUCAAAGGACUAAAACAAAUUACACACACUGCAUUAGGCCUUAACACACAUUGUACAGUCAAAAGCAGAUUCAAAAACUCUCCGUAGGUGCCAUGCCCGACAGAGAAAGGAAAAGGUCAUUUAAGCGCUUGUUGAUAUUCCUUCUCCCUCGUGAAGAAUUUGGUAGACUUUUCUGCAGAUACUGAGUAACCUAUUUGUGGUUUGGAGUGCAAAGGUGAUGUGUAAGGAAGGCUGUCCUGGAAUUUCACGGAAAAUGUAAAUUGUCCAAGCUCCCUUCCAAAUCAAAUCAGACUGAAAAUGGCUCGCAUAGCUCUCCCUUCAACCGUAAGAUGUUCCCAUUAGUGCCAAUUAAUGUGGAGACCCUGGCAGUCUGUCUGCAUGAUUCAUUAAUGAGAAGCCUCAUUUACAGCUGAGAAAGUGAUGCAAUGGAGUAGCUGCAAUAAUUCCUCACCUCCUCUACAGAGACCGUGCCCUGCAAACUGCUGACCUCUUACCUUGGAUAAGCGUCUCUCCCUCUGAUCGGCGGUGUGUGCUCAGGGGACGGUGCACAAUGGCAACAAUGAUGGUGAAAUCCUGCCUAACAUCCUAGCUUCCAUGUUUACUUGAUACGAAAUACAAGAUUGACUCUAACCCUCCCUUCUCAAAUGAAAUUCCUAGUUCAGUUAAGGAUGGUACAGACAAGCUGAGACUUCUAUUACUCUGCAUUACGUCGCUUUUCUACAAGAGAAAAGCAAAAGCCCAUGGACAGAAGUGGCACAGAGUCAGCUAUAUCCACAAACCUCUAUUGCAAGGGAUGAUGGGACUUUGGCUUCAUUCCCUCAAUGGCUGUAUCAGUGGAAUAAGUGUUAUAAUUUCAUUUCUUGUGCAAACUAUUCCGAUAACCCUUCACACAGAAUUAUAGCUUCCAUUAAAAAUGUGUAUUCUUUCCCAAAGCCUUUUUCCUCUCUUGUUUUAAUAUGAAACAAUUGAGAGUUAUAUUAGCACAUUGGGAAAGAAUUAUUAUCUUUGUCAACAUCCUUAGGGGGCCUGAUUAAUAUAAGAGCUGCUUCCUCCUGACUAAUGGUAGUACAGGCUGCAAGAGCUUUCUCCAAACAAUUGUAUAAUUUAAGUUCUUUGUAUCUAGUGUGUUUUUGACAGACUGGUCAAUAGAACCCACUGAAGAAAAGUAUUCCUCUCAAUUUCAAUCACAAAGCAAACUCUCAGGAAAUUCUCCACUCUGAUAAGUAAGUUAGACUUAAAAUAUCAGCCUCACCUGUGACACUUGCCUCACUAGAGAUGUUGAACAUGAAAGAGGAGGCUGUGUAAGGGAAUCUGGAGUAUGAAUGACAGCGGAAAAUCCACGUAGUACUGUAGUACAGAGGAAGACAACC